AUGAACGCUGGCGGCGUGCCUAAUACAUGCAAGUCGAGCGAACAGACGAGGAGCUUGCUCCUCUGUCGUUAGCGGCGGACGGGUGAGUAACACGUGGAUAACCUACCUAUAAGACUGGGAUAACUUCGGGAAACCGGAGCUAAUACCGGAUAACAUGUUGAACCGCAUGGUUCAACAGUGAAAGACGGUCUUGCUGUCACUUAUAGAUGGAUCCGCGCCGCAUUAGCUAGUUGGUAAGGUAACGGCUUACCAAGGCAACGAUGCGUAGCCGACCUGAGAGGGUGAUCGGCCACACUGGAACUGAGACACGGUCCAGACUCCUACGGGAGGCAGCAGUAGGGAAUCUUCCGCAAUGGGCGAAAGCCUGACGGAGCAACGCCGCGUGAGUGAAGAAGGUCUUCGGAUCGUAAAACUCUGUUAUUAGGGAAGAACAAAUGUGUAAGUAACUAUGCACGUCUUGACGGUACCUAAUCAGAAAGCCACGGCUAACUACGUG
rnacentral:rRNA from 1 species